UACACUCCUACGGGAGGCAGCAGUGGGGAAUUUUGGACAAUGGGCGAAAGCCUGAUCCAGCAAUGCCGCGUGAGUGAAGAAGGCCUUCGGGUUGUAAAGCUCUUUUGUCAGGGAAGAAACGGUGAAAGCUAAUAUCUUUUGCUAAUGACGGUACCUGAAGAAUAAGCACCGGCUAACUACGUGCCAGCAGCCGCGGUAAUACGUAGGGUGCAAGCGUUAAUCGGAAUUACUGGGCGUAAAGCGUGCGCAGGCGGUUUUUUAAGUCUGAUGUGAAAUCCCCGGGCUCAACCUGGGAAUUGCAUUGGGGACUGCAAGGCUAGAAUCUGGCAGAGGGGGGUAGAAUUCCACGUGUAGCAGUGAAAUGCGUAGAUAUGUGGAGGAACACCGAUGGCGAAGGCAGCCCCCUGGGUCAAGAUUGACGCUCAUGCACGAAAGCGUGGGGAGCAAACAGGAUUAGAUACCCGAGUAGUCCCAUGAU
rnacentral:rRNA from 1 species